rnacentral:sRNA from 1 species
UGAUAGUCAGCGGCGAGCGCUUCCGCCUC